UACAAAGGGGGCUAGCGUUGUUCGGAAUUACUGGGCGUAAAGCGCGUGUAGGCGGGUCCUUAAGUCAGGGGUGAAAUGCCAAGGCUCAACCUUGGAACUGCCUUUGAUACUGGGGAUCUUGAGUCCGGGAGAGGUGAGUGGAACUGCGAGUGUAGAGGUGAAAUUCGUAGAUAUUCGCAAGAACACCAGUGGCGAAGGCGGCUCACUGGCCCGGAACUGACGCUGAGACGCGAAAGCGUGGGGAGCAAACAGG
rnacentral:rRNA from 1 species